UUUAGUCUUAACAGCACUAACUAGCCUACCACAGACUAAAAGAUAUUCGACUGGGGUACAGCCCUGUCGAAAAAGGAUACAACCUAAACUAGUGGACCUAAAUCUUAACCAUGUACCAGUGGGCCCUAAAGCCGCCACCAAUAAAUAAAGCGUCACAGCACAAUAUCUUAAAUACCAAAAAACCGAUCAACCCCUAGUAAACUAUUGAGCCAUACUAUAUUCAUAGCAGCAUUAAUGCUAAAACUAGUAACAAGAAAACUUCUCUAUGCACCUUCGUGACCCAGAAAUAGAAAAUCUACUGGAUAACAACAGACCAAAACAGGAAUUCAAUACUGUCAAACCAACCCGGGAGUGCUUCAAAGAAGGUUAAAAAUUAUAUAAGGAACUCAGCAAAUCUACGUCCCAACUGUUUACCAAAAACACAGCCCUUAGCCAAACAAGUAUUAAAGGUGUUGCCUGCCCAGUGAAACAUUUUCAACGGCCGCGGUAUCCUAACCGUGCAAAGGUAGCGUAAUCACUUGUCUUUUAAAUAAAGACUCGUAUGAAAGGCUAAAUGAGGACGAAACUGUCUCUUAUAGUUGACCAGUAAAACUGAUCUUCAAGUACAAAAGCUUGAAUAAACACAUAAGACGAGAAGACCCAUGGAGCUUAAAACUGACACUAUAAUAAACAAUAGCAUAAGUUUUAAGUUGGGGCGACUUCGGAACAAAACAAAACUUCCGAGCACAGAGCCAUCCCCUCUCCUCAAGACCCACAAGUCAAAACAACGACCCAGUCACACUGAACAACGAACCAAGUUACCCCAGGGAUAACAGCGCCAUCUUCUUCAAGAGUCCCUAUCGACAAGAAGGUUUACGACCUCGAUGUUGGAUCAGGACACCCAAAUGGUGCAGCAGCUAUUAAAGGUUCGUUUGUU
rnacentral:rRNA from 1 species